GAUGAACGCUGGCGGCGUGCCUAAUACAUGCAAGUCGAGCGAACAGACGAGGAGCUUGCUCCUCUGACGUUAGCGGCGGACGGGUGAGUAACACGUGGAUAACCUACCUAUAAGACUGGGAUAACUUCGGGAAACCGGAGCUAAUACCGGAUAACAUGUUGAACCGCAUGGUUCAACAGUGAAAGACGGUUUUGCUGUCACUUAUAGAUGGAUCCGCGUCGCAUUAGCUAGUUGGUAAGGUAACGGCUUACCAAGGCAACGAUGCGUAGCCGACCUGAGAGGGUGAUCGGCCACACUGGAACUGAGACACGGUCCAGACUCCUACGGGAGGCAGCAGUAGGGAAUCGUCCGCAGUGGGCGAAAGCCUGACGGAGCAACGCCGAGUGAGUGAAGAAGGUCUUCGGAUCGUAAAACUCUGUUAUUAGGGAAGAACAAAUGUGUAAGUAACUAUGCACGUCUUGACGGUAACUAAUCAGAAAGCAACGGCUAACUACGUG
rnacentral:rRNA from 1 species